rnacentral:rRNA from 1 species
AUUGAACGCUGGCGGCAUGCCUUACACAUGCAAGUCGAACGGUAACAGGUCUUCGGAUGCUGACGAGUGGCGAACGGGUGAGUAAUACAUCGGAACGUGCCCGAUCGUGGGGGAUAACGCAGCGAAAGCUGUGCUAAUACCGCAUACGAUCUACGGAUGAAAGCGGGGGAUCGCAAGACCUCGCGCGGACGGAGCGGCCGAUGGCAGAUUAGGUAGUUGGUGGGAUAAAAGCUUACCAAGCCGACGAUCUGUAGCUGGUCUGAGAGGACGACCAGCCACACUGGGACUGAGACACGGCCCAGACUCCUACGGGAGGCAGCAGUGGGGAAUUUUGGACAAUGGGGGAAACCCUGAUCCAGCCAUGCCGCGUGCAGGAUGAAGGCCUUCGGGUUGUAAACUGCUUUUGUACGGAACGAAAAGGUCCUUUCUAAUAAAGAGGGCUCAUGACGGUACCGUAAGAAUAAGCACCGGCUAACUACGUGCCAGCAGCCGCGGUAAUACGUAGGGUGCGAGCGUUAAUCGGAAUUACUGGGCGUAAAGCGUGCGCAGGCGGUUAUAUAAGACAGAUGUGAAAUCCCCGGGCUCAACCUUGGAACUGCCUUUGAAACUCUCAGUCUUGAGGUCGAGAGAGGUGAGUGGAAUUCCGAGUGUAGAGGUGAAAUUCGUAGAUA